rnacentral:tRNA from 1 species
ACCUGAGUGGCUCAGUUGGUUAAGUGUCUGACUUCAGCUCAGGUCACGAUCUCGUGGUUCAUGGGUUCAAGCCCCAUGUCAGGCU